CACCUCUAGCAUUACAAGUAUUAGAGGCAUUGCCUGCCCAGUGACUAUAGUUAAACGGCCGCGGUAUCCUGACCGUGCAAAGGUAGCAUAAUCAUUUGUUCCUUAAUUAGGGACUAGUAUGAAUGGCUAGACGAGGGAUCAACUGUCUCUUAUUUUUAAUCAGUGAAAUUGACCUUCCAGUGAAGAGGCUGGAAUACAAUAAUAAGACGAGAAGACCCUAUGGAGCUUAAAUUAACAAGCUUAAUUAUUACUUAAAUACCCUAAUGGAACAAAACAAAAAAACAUAAGCUUAAAAUUUUGGUUGGGGUGACCUCGGAGAACAAAAAAUCCUCCGAAAGAUAUAUAACAUAGACCUACAAGUCAAAGUAACUCAAUUAUCUUAUUGACCCAAAAAUUGAUCAACGGACCAAGUUACCCUAGGGAUAACAGCGCAAUCCUAUUUAAGAGUCCAUAUCGACAAUAGGGUUUACGACCUCGAUGUUGGAUCAGGACAUCCCAAUGGUGCAGAAGCUAUUAAUGGUUCGUUUGUUCAACGAUUAAAGUCCUACGUGAUCUA
rnacentral:rRNA from 1 species